ensembl:misc_RNA Metazoa_SRP Metazoan signal recognition particle RNA
ACUGAGCAUAGUGGUGACUGCCUGUAGUCUCAGCUACUCGGGAGGCUGAGGUGGGAGGACCCCUUGAGCCCAGGAGUUUUGGGCUGUAGUGGGCUAUAUGCCUAUCAAGCGUACACACAAGUUUGGCAUCAAUAUGGUCACCUCCUGGGAGCGGGGGACCACCAGGUUGCCUAAGGAGGGGUGAACUGGCCCAGGUUGGAAAUGGAGCAGGUCAAAACUCCUGUGAUGAUUAGUAGUGGGAUCAUGCCUGUGAAUAGCCACUGCACUUCAGUCUGGACAACAUAGCGAGAUCCCGUUUCUU